UCACUACGCUAUCUAACAAAGGCACAGUUGAUAGGGUUUAGCUUGCGGUGUCGGCAUCACCUACCCAAGGACCUAUCUCUUUGUUAAUGCUGGAUCGUGUCUUUCCAUUAGGCCAAUCAACUAAGUUGAUAUCCAUCAACGAAGGGUGGUUCGAUAGUAGACUCAUUAUCUCACGUCCUCAUGUACACUAGUGUAAUACUUGUAGAGAUCUCUAUAUGGAUUGGAUUUGACAUUGAGGCGUCCCCCAACGAUAAUCACAAUUCAGACUUCAUGAGACAGAUUUGAGUAUCACUGAUCAAUGGAUCAGGUUGUGCCAAGCUCGCUUUCUUUCUAGUGCAAGACAAUAUCGAACCUAAGGGCCUCCCUCCUUUUAGGGAGCCACAAGGCCUUGUGACACCAAUUUUGCCACUAUAUGGUGUCACCAUAUCACCAUCCAUGGUGAUGGCGUCAAGACCAACACUUUUUGGUCGCGCCAUGUCCUUUUGUAGGACAUUAAUCCUUGCAGACAUAUUUGCAGCAUGUGAUCUCGUCACUUUAACACUAUAAGCAUUUGGGAUCAAGAUGAGACUUAGUGGGGACAAACUACGACAAUUCACGUCGUUCCACUUGAACACUUGUGUUCUUAUCUCCCCCUAACGGCGGGAAUAUUGUCUCAUCAAAGUGACAAUCCGUAAUUUAGCGGUGAAUGAGAUUGCCUGACAAGGUUCCUACAUAUGCGGAUUAUAGGUGGAGGUUCAUAUCUAACCUAAACUUAUUCAUCUCAAAUGACCCAUCAUUGUACGCAGUGGCAAUGCGAUUUGGCACCUAGAAAUAACAUCUAGCCGAGCUUAAGGAUUGGAGAUCCGUUUCAAUCCUGCCGAGCUCAAGGAUUGCAAUUUCGUGUCAAUCCUGGUACACAGUCACGAGCUGUAGUACAACAAAAUUCAAUGAUGGUGGGUCGUAGAUGAAUAGUAAAGCUGCAUGCAAAUAUUGCAUAGCCCCAAGACGCAAUAGAAAGAGUGGUGCGCAUCAAUAAUGUUCGAGCGACAAGCUAAAGUUGCUUGGUCGUAGCCUCGGUGAGACCGUAUUGCGUGUGAACAUGGGGUACAGGACACUUCAACUUACAUCCUGAUGAACUUCUUUAAAGAAUGGGUAGUGAGCCCGUAGAAGUAUAAGCAGUAUAAGCAGUAGAUAAUAGUGUAAACGUGACCAGUGUGUUAACACGUCAACCAACACCAUAAAGCAUAAAAAGGUGUCUGUAAGUUGGUUGUAUCUAUCUACAUAGUUUGAUGUAAGAAUAGAAUGUUCACUUUUGUGUUAUUUAGCGUAGGAGGGUCUCACUCCUUAUUUAGCUAAAGAAUAGGUUUUCAAAAAGAGCAAUGAGCAUUGCAGGGGGCCAAUGCGACAUCGAGGAAAGGCCGGUGCACCUUAAUUGCUUGAGGAAUUGACCGGACGACCUCCAGGAAGUUGGAGUCGUGUUCGGGUGACGUCAAUGUCCCCCGGGU
rnacentral:lncRNA from 1 species